rnacentral:sRNA from 1 species
CUGGGUCUCCAGCACACCCUGGAGAAAAGCAGGUCAGGGGGUGGUGCUUCUGUUUCCAGAUGAGCAAACUAGGGCUGAGGGAGAGGGCGUUCUCUGGUCAGGGUGGUAGAGCCAGUCUCGUGGAAGCCGGCCGAGCCACUGAAACAGAAUCAGUUUUCUCAUGGACCAAACGGGGAUAGUGUCUGGCCUGCGCCACCCCAAGUGUAUUGUGAAGAUGAAAUGAGAAGGGGUUUUUUGUUGUGGUUGCUGGAAGGAGAUCCUAGAAGGGAGGAAUCGGGGAGAAGAUGGCAAAGGGAUCCUAGGACAAGGCGUAUGGGCAAGGGAAGGUUGUCUUUCUGGGAGGAAAAUCUCCAACCAAGAAUUUCAGGAAGAAGGCACUGGGAAAAGAGGGAGGAGGUGCCCUCAGAUCCAUGGAGGUGAGUGUCAGCCCCCAGAUCUCUUGUGUGGCCACCACUUUCACGGCAACCACUCCUCACUGGGAAUCCUUGGAGUCUGGUGCUUUCGCCACCCUGCCCCGGCUGCUUCAUGCGUGCCACCUCGCCCUGUUUCCAGACUGAUGCAGAGAAAGUUCUCAGAGCCCAACACUUACAUCGAUGGCCUGCCUAGCCAGGACCGCCAGGAGGAGCUGUAUGAUGACGUGGAACUGUCAGAGCUCACAGCUGCGGUGGAGCCUACCGAGGAAGCCACCCCUGUUGCAGAUGACCCAAAUGAGAGAGAAUCUGACCGAGUGUACCUGGACCUCACACCUGUCAAGUCCUUUCUGCACGGCCCCAGCAGUGCACAGGCCCAGGCCUCCUCCCCGACAUUGUCCUGCCUGGACAAUGCAACUGAGGCCCUCCCUGCAGACCCAGGCCCAGGUCCCACCCCAGAUGAGCCCUGCAUAAAGUGUCCAGAGAACCUGGGAGAACAGCAGCUGGAGAGUUUGGAGCCAGAGGAUCCUUCCCUGAGAAUCACCACCGUCAAAAUCCAGACGGAACAGCAGAGAAUCUCCUUCCCACCGAGCUGCCCGGAUGCCGUGGUGGCCACCCCACCUGGUGCCAGCCCACCUGUGAAGGACAGGUUGCGCGUGACCAGUGCAGAGAUCAAGCUUGGCAAGAAUCGGACAGAAGCUGAGGUGAAGCGGUACACAGAGGAGAAGGAGAGGCUUGAAAAGAAGAAGGAAGAAAUCCGGGGGCACCUGGCUCAGCUCCGGAAAGAGAAACGGGAGCUAAAGGAAACCCUACUGAAAUGCACAGACAAGGAAGUCCUGGCAAGCCUGGAGCAGAAGCUGAAGGAAAUUGAUGAGGAGUGCCGGGGCGAGGAGAGCAGGCGCGUGGACCUGGAGCUCAGCAUCAUGGAGGUGAAGGACAACCUGAAGAAGGCUGAGGCAGGGCCUGUGACGUUAGGCACCACCGUGGACACCACCCACCUGGAGAACGUGAGCCCCCGCCCCAAAGCUGUCACACCUGCCUCUGCCCCAGACUGUACCCCAGUCAACUCUGCAACCACACUCAAGAACAGGCCUCUCUCGGUCAUGGUCACAGGCAAAGGCACUGUACUCCAGAAAGCCAAGGUAAGCAGUCACUCCCAGCCUCCCUUGGGGCCAGCAGAAAUGUCACUAAGGUAGGGGCCCAUCUUCUGACCCAGGUGGUGCUUUGUGGCUUUUGGCACCAGCUCUGAGCAAGGGCUCAGCACUCACCAAGGAGUGGCCAUGGCUUUGCUAUGCCUUCAGCUCAGUCUCUGGCACUGACCAACCAGAAAGGUGCCUGCACUUGGUUCGAGCAUCCUUCCCCGUGAGCUUGGGGAUGCUUCAGUUCUUGCCCUCCACACAGUUAUGGGUAGAUCCCAGGAGGCCAGCUGCAGCUCAGGGACAGAUUAUGACUGAGUUUUCAAACCAAAAAGUCAGUCAGUGACUCCACAGGACUUCUACCAUUAAAACUAAAGAAACAGACUCACAUAGGUGGUUUGAAUUGCCCAAAGUUGCCCACCCAACUACUGGCAAAAUUCUCAGCAAGUUGUGAAUGAGGAAUCCAUGCUAUGAUGCGGUUUCUCCCUGAUGGCUAGUCAAAAAAGUAUCAUUAAUCAUUUACUCAUUUACUCAUUUGUACACUAAAGAACAUGCCUAGGGCUGCCUUUGCUUUUGGCAAAUUCUGCUCCUUAUUCCUAUCCUCCUUACCUGCUGGAGAUAUUUGGAGGUCCCACAACAAUGGCUAACCAAUAAAUCCAUGCAAGCAUCUGAACCUCCACUCCCUUGUUGCUGUGAGAGACAUCACUUAUAGGCACUCGCUGUUGUGCCACAGUCUCAAAAUCUCUGAAUAGGCACUCUAAGCAGUGAUGAACACACAGGGUUUGAAACAUUUAUCACCUCUAUGCCUAAAAUAGUUUUUCUCACAUUUUUUCUAUGUAUAUCAAGGUUGCUACAGUGGAUAACUAACUAUCUUUUUGGUGGGGGGUGGGUGCUGGUAUUUGAAUGGUACCCUAGGAAUGGGAGAAGAAAGGAGCAAGUUAGAAAACAAGCUUCAUCUAAAGACUCUCAUGUCAAGGUGGACCUUGGUGACAAUCCUGCUUUGUUAAAGCAAAAACUAUGUGAAAGGGUGAGUCUGUUUAGAAGAAAAAGCAAAGACUGAGGUACUGUGAAUGGAGAGCUUCAGCUAAGAGGACGCUCUGUCCCUUUUCAGAGCCAAAGGAAAUAAUACAACAAAAAGGAGGCUUCUUUGGAGACCUAAGUCUAUUGGAUGUAAACAAGACGUUGUAUUUCGGGAUGUUCUGUGUUUCUUUCUUUUUUGAAGUUGUCAUCAAUUGCUUUACUAAGAUUUUUAAAUAGUGAAAACCUCGUGUUUAGACUUUGGUGGAAGAUGAAUCAAGGAAGCAGGGCCCUGUCUUAUGGGUCACGUGGCUUUGGUGAGUGAGAAGACCUAAACUCCUGGCCAUCAUCUCUUAUCCAAUACUUAGCAGUUGGGGAUUAAACCAUCCUUGCCUUCAGUUCUCUCCAAUAUUACCAGGCCCAACUCAGUCUUCAGUGAUUUUAAACAGCAUUGACAUCAUCUGUAAAACCAUCUAUAACAUGAGUUUUGAGAAACAAUAACAGGGGAAAAUAUUUGGGACCAAGCUGAAGCACUGAUCCCACUAAGUUAAAGACUUCUUUCCAGUCCAAGGCAGGCCUGAAUCAACUGUCUUUAAAUAAAAUUUUAAGUGAUGCUGUAUUAUAUAUAGGAAAAAAUGCUUAAAAUCCUGUCAUUUAGAACAGUGAAAAGUAUCUUUUGAGAUUAAAGUGACUCUUUACUGUAGGAAAAAAAAUUACUCUGUGUUUACAGAUUCAUUGCUGUGAUCAGGCCAUUUUUAAGGGAAGAGUUAUUUAAUAUAAAUAGUCCCUGAUUUUAAGUUCUGUUUAAUGUUCAUUCUCCUUCCAAGAACAAAGUGGUGAUUUUUUGGUUAGGGUGAUCGCCCUCUUAAAAUUGGCAGUGCUGUUCCUUGUGCUGCCCCUGUCUUUUCCUCUGAUGGCAUUUUUUUUUUUUUUUAACACAGGUUGAAACAUUUCAUCUAUUAUCUCUGCCUCAUUUCUGGAGGGUUGUGUAUCAGUUCUCUAACACUUGUUCCUGAGAACUAAAUGUCUUUUUUAUUCUUAUUUCCUCUCUCAUAAACAUUUGGUGACCUUUUACCAAGUGGUGAGUUAGGUUUUUUAAAAUAAAAUGUUCAUUGUAUUUG